rnacentral:rRNA from 1 species
AUGCUGGCGGUGCGCCUAACACAUGCAAGUCGAACGGAGUACCCAUAACAGCGGCUUCGGCCAAUGUUAUGGAAUACUUAGUGGCGAACGGGUGAGUAACACGUGAGGAACCUGCCUUUCAGUGGGGGAUAACAUCUGGAAACAGAUGCUAAUACCGCAUAUGACCACAAUGCCGCAUGGCAAUGUGGUAAAAGGAGCAAUCCGCUGAAAGAUGGCCUCGCGUCUGAUUAGCUAGUUGGUGGGGUAAUGGCCUACCAAGGCGACGAUCAGUAGCCGGACUGAGAGGUUGAUCGGCCACAUUGGGACUGAGACACGGCCCAGACUCCUACGGGAGGCAGCAGUGGGGAAUAUUGGGCAAUGGGGGCAACCCUGACCCAGCGACGCCGCGUGAGGGAAGAAGGUUUUCGGAUUGUAAACCUCUGUCUUCGGGGAAGAUAAUGACGGUACCCGAGGAGGAAGCCACGGCUAACUACGUGCCAGCAGCCGCGGUAAAACGUAGGUGGCAAGCGUUGUCCGGAAUUACUGGGUGUAAAGGGAGCGCAGGUGGGCUAGCAAGUCGAAUGUGAAAUCUAUGGGCUCAACCCAUAAAUUGCGUUUUUUUUCCCCCCGGGGAAAAC